ACCUAGUCCCUUCCCACAUCUUGAAGGUGAUUUAUCAUUCCCUGAAGCAUUCAGCAGGAAGAGAACCUGGUGCCAGGCACGGGAUUGGCAGGCGAACUGUGGACAGCCAAGGAACCUCUGCACAAGCAGCAUCAUGCAACACCUGAUCCAAAGCCCAAAGCAGCAGCCAUCGUCUCCAACACACUUUGAACACGCUUGCUCACUUAACACCAGAGGUGGCUGAUCAACAGGUUCUACAAUUCUUGAAAGAAUACAAUAAAAAUAGUAACACAUUUUGACAAUAAUUAACAUUCUUAUACACCACAUUCUACACUACCUUGUUUUUGUCCUUGCUUAGUA